UCCUUAGACGUUCUGGGCCGCACGCGCGCUACACUGACACAGGCAACGAGCUUUCCUUUACCGAAAGGUAUGGGUAAUCUUUUGAAACUGUGUCGUGCUGGGGAUAGAUCCUUGCAAUUUUUGAUCUUAAACGAGGAAUUCCUAGUAAGCGCGAGUCAUCAACUCGCGUUGAUUACGUCCCUGCCCUUUGUACACACCGCCCGUCGCUACUACCGAUUGAAUGGCUUAGUGAGGCCUCAGGAUCCGCGCUUAAUGUGUGGAGAAUUUGGACAAACUACGUCAUUUAGAGGAAGUAAAAGUCGUAACA
rnacentral:rRNA from 1 species